rnacentral:rRNA from 1 species
UACAGAGGUCCCGAGCGUUAAUCGGAAUUACUGGGCGUAAAGCGUGCGCAGGCGGUGAUGUAAGACAGAUGUGAAAUCCCCGGGCUCAACCUGGGAACUGCAUUUGUGACUGCAUCGCUGGAGUGCGGCAGAGGGGGAUGGAAUUCCGCGUGUAGCAGUGAAAUGCGUAGAUAUGCGGAGGAACACCGAUGGCGAAGGCAAUCCCCUGGGCCUGCACUGACGCUCAUGCACGAAAGCGUGGGGAGCAAACAGG